GACGAACGCUGGCGGCGUGCUUAACACAUGCAAGUCGAACGGAAAGGCCCUGCUUUUGUGGGGUGCUCGAGUGGCGAACGGGUGAGUAACACGUGAGUAACCUGUCCUUGACUUUGGGAUAACUUCAGGAAACUGGGGCUAAUACCGGAUAGGAGCUCCCGCUGCAUGGUGGGGGUUGGAAAGUUUCGGCGGUUGGGGAUGGACUCGCGGCUUAUCAGCUUGUUGGUGGGGUAGUGGCUUACCAAGGCUUGGACGGGUAGCCGGCCUGAGAGGGUGACCGGCCACAUUGGGACUGAGAUGCGGCCCAGACUCCUACGGGAGGCAGCAGUGGGGAAUGUUGCACAGUGGGCGGGAGCCUGAUGCAACAACGCCGCGUGCGGGAUGACGGCCUUCGGGUAGUAAUCCGCUUUCGCCUGUGACGAGGCGUGAGUGACGGUAAUGGGUAAAGAAGCACCGGCUAACUACGUG
rnacentral:rRNA from 1 species